rnacentral:rRNA from 1 species
UACGAAGGGGGCUAGCGUUGUUCGGAAUCACUGGGCGUAAAGGGCGCGUAGGCGGCUGUUCAAGUCGGGGGUGAAAGCCUGUGGCUCAACCACAGAAUUGCCUUCGAUACUGGACGGCUCGAGACCGGAAGAGGUCAGUGGAACUGCGAGUGUAGAGGUGAAAUUCGUAGAUAUUCGCAAGAACACCAGUGGCGAAGGCGGCUGACUGGUCCGGUUCUGACGCUGAGGCGCGAAAGCGUGGGGAGCAAACAGGG